ACAGUGAUGGAAAGAUGAAAAGAACUUUGAAAAGAGAGUGAAAAAGUACGUGAAAUUGUUGAAAGGGAAGGGCAUUUGAUCAGACAUGGCGUUUGCUUCGGCUUUCGCUGGGCCAGCAUCAGUUUUAGCGGUUGGAUAAAUCCUCGGGAAUGUGGCUCUGCUUCGGUAGAGUGUUAUAGCCCGUGGGAAUACAGCCAGCUGGGACGAGGAUUGCGACUUUUGUCAAGGAUGCUGGCGUAAUGGUUAAAUGCCG
rnacentral:rRNA from 1 species